rnacentral:snoRNA from 1 species
AUCCUCUCAGAGUCACACCUGGAGAGUUUCCAGUACUCUACCGGUCUCAACUACGGGAAGGAGAGUCAAGCAGAGGCCUACCCAUUCCAUUCCUAGCUUGGCCAGUGGCUAGUGAGUGGAAGGCAGUGUGCUACAGUC